AUUGAACGCUGGCGGCAUGCCUUACACAUGCAAGUCGAACGGCAAUAGGUCUUCGGAUGCUGACGAGUGGCGAACGGGUGAGUAAUACAUCGGAACGUGCCCGAUCGUGGGGGAUAACGAAGCGAGAGCUUUGCUAAUACCGCAUACGAUCUACGGAUGAAAGCAGGGGACCGCAAGGCCUUGUGCGAACCGAGCGGCCGAUGGCAGAUUAGGUAGUUGGUGGGAUAAAAGCUUACCAAGCCGACGAUCUGUAGCUGGUCUGAGAGGACGACCAGCCACACUGGGACUGAGACACGGCCCAGACUCCUACGGGAGGCAGCAGUGGGGAAUUUUGGACAAUGGGCGAAAGCCUGAUCCAGCCAUGCCGCGUGCAGGAUGAAGGCCUUCGGGUUGUAAACUGCUUUUGUACGGAACAAAAAGACUCUGGUUAAUACCUGGGGUCCAUGACGGUACCGUAAGAAUAAGCACCGGCUAACUACGUGCCAGCCGCCGCAGUAACAC
rnacentral:rRNA from 1 species